UUUUUGAAGCCAGAAGUUACUUUAUGCAGAUGACAGACUGUAAUGCUAAUUUGUCAGCUAAUGCUAGCUAGCUUGGUUAGCAAGCAGCAACAGACACACAUGUCAGCUAAUUAGCUAACUGACUAAGAAAAUAUCAGAAUUUCGCUCACCAAAAUUGAAGCACAAGGUUUUUGGACGGCUGUGAACCUGGUGGCUGUUGCCUGAUGACUAAGACCCUGUGCAGUUUUGCAGGCACAAUCCAGACCUGAUGCCAGGAGCAGCUCGGGAGACCUGAAAGCGGCCGAGCACCAACACUCUCAUUCCAACCCGGCUGAGCUUAAAGGAUUCUGCUGAGAAGAAUGGCAGAGACCCCUGAAAGAAAGGAUCAUUCCCAAGAAAACUUGAGGCUGUUAUUGCUUCCAAAGGGGCCUUAACCAAGACAAGGGUCUGAAUACUUAUAAAACCUGCACAUCUCAGUC